rnacentral:tRNA from 1 species
UCCCUGGUGGCUCAGAUGGUAAAGUGUCUGCCUACAAUGCGGGAGACCCGGGUUCGAUUCCUGGGUCGGGAA